rnacentral:rRNA from 1 species
GCAGCAACGCCGCGUGGAGGAUGACACUUUUCGGAGCGUAAACUCCUUUUGUUAGGGAAGAAUAAUGACGGUACCUAACGAAUAAGCACCGGCUAACUCCGUGCCAGCAGCCGCGGUAAUACGGAGGGUGCAAGCGUUACUCGGAAUCACUGGGCGUAAAGGACGCGUAGGCGGAUUAUCAAGUCUCUUGUGAAAUCUAACGGCUCAACCGUUAAACUGCUUGGGAAACUGAUAAUCUAGAGUAGGGGAGAGGCAGAUGGAAUUCUUGGUGUAGGGGUAAAAUCCGUAGAUAUCAAGAAGAAUACCUAUUGCGAAGGCGAUCUGCUGGAACUUAACUGACGCUAAUGCGUGAAAGCGUGGGGAGCAAACAGGAUUAGAUACCCUGGUAGUCCACGCCCUAAACGAUGUAUACCGGUUGUUGCUGUGCUAGUCACGGCAGUAAUCCACCUAACGGAUUAAGUAUACCGCCUGGGGAGUACGGUCGCAAGAUUAAAACUCAAAGGAAUAGACGGGGACCCGCACAAGCGGUGGAGCAUGUGGUUUAAUUCGAAGAUACGCGAAGAACCUUACCCGGACUUGAUAUCUAACAAAUCAUCCAGAGAUGGAAGAGUGUCUGCUUGCAGAAAUGUUAAGACAGGUGCUGCACGGCUGUCGUCAGCUCGUGUCGUGAGAUGUUGGGUUAAGUCCCGCAACGAGCGCAACCCACGUCAUUAGUUGCUAACGGUUCGGCCGAGCACUCUAAUGAGACUGCCUUCGUAAGGAGGAGGAAGGUGUGGACGACGUCAAGUCAUCAUGGCCCUUAUGUCCGGGGCGACACACGUGCUACAAUGGCAUAUACAAUAAGACGCAAUAUCGUAAGAUGGAGCAAAUCUAUAAAAUAUGUCCCAGUUCGGAUUGGAGUCUGCAACUCGACUCCAUGAAGCCGGAAUCGCUAGUAAUCGUAGAUCAGCCAUGCUACGGUGAAUACGUUCCCGGGUCUUGUACUCACCGCCCGUCACACCAUGGGAGUUGAUUUCACUCGAAGCGGGAAUGCGAAAUUCGCUACCCUCCACAGUGGAAUCAGCGACUGGGGUGAAGUCGUAACAAGGUAACCGUAGGAGAACCUGCGGUUG